CGCGGCGUACCCGAGCGGCCGAAGGGACAGGUUUCAUGUUCCGGUAUUCGCAGGUUCGAAUCGUGCUGUCGCGUCGA
rnacentral:tRNA from 1 species